rnacentral:rRNA from 1 species
UACGUAGGGUGCAAGCGUUGUCCGGAAUUAUUGGGCGUAAAGAGCUUGUAGGCGGCCUGUCGCGUCGGAUGUGAAAGCCCGGGGCUUAACCCCGGGUCUGCAUUCGAUACGGGCAGGCUAGAGUGUGGUAGGGGAGAUCGGAAUUCCUGGUGUAGCGGUGAAAUGCGCAGAUAUCAGGAGGAACACCGGUGGCGAAGGCGGAUCUCUGGGCCAUUACUGACGCUGAGGAGCGAAAGCGUGGGGAGCGAACAGG